GCUCGAAGGUUAAUUGAUGAUGUUAAGCUAUGCGAAGCAUUUGAUCGAAGCCCGAGUAAACGGCGGCCGUAACUAUAACGGUCCUAAGGUAGCGAAAUUCCUUGUCGGUUAAAUACCGACCUGCAUGAAUGGCGUAACGAGAUGGGAGCUGUCUCAAAGAGGGAUCCAGUGAAAUUGUAGUGGAGGUGAAAAUUCCUCCUACCCGCGGCAAGACGGAAAGACCCCGUGGACCUUUACUACAGCUUGACACUGCUACUUGGAUAAAGAUGCGCAGGAUAGGUGGGAGGCUUUGAUCCAUAGACCCUGGUUUAUGGUGAGCCAUUGUUGAGAUACCACUCUUCUUUAUUCGGGUAGCUAACUAGCCUAAGUUAUCCUUAGGUAGGACAAUGUCUGGUGGGUAGUUUGACUGGGGCGGUCGCCUCCCAAAAUGUAACGGAGGCUUACAAAGUUG
rnacentral:rRNA from 1 species